rnacentral:lncRNA from 10 species
GUCGCAUUUAGCCGCACAGCAGCCUGGAACCUGAAGUUUUCGGCCGCUGAGCGUUCUGGGUGAUUGCGUAGUGCGAGGGCCAACGAAACCUUCUGGGAAGUGUAGUCCAGCAAGCCGCUCACUUUUCGUGAGGCGUCACAUCCUGCUGCUUCACCCUCUGGUGCACGGGAGGACCAACUAUUUCAGUCGAAGGUGCUCAGAGUAAUGCUCAUGAACACUUGUGGACCAGAGAUGAGCUGCCUUCCCAAAACGUAGAAUAAUGACUCCAAAGAUAUCCACAUCCUAAUCCCUGGGACCUAUGAAUAUGUUACCUUACAUGGUAAAAGGGAUUUUGCAGAUGUGAGUAAAUGAAGACUCUUGAUAUGAGGAGAUUACCUUGGAUUAUCCAUGUGGACCCGAGGAUAUCUAUGAGGGAAAGAGGGAUGCAGGAGAGUCAGAGUCGGAAAAAGGAAU